AGAAAGUUGGCAGAUUGGAAUGCAGUUAGCUUGAAACUAAAGUAUGUGGGUUUGAUUCCUACCCUUUCUU
rnacentral:tRNA from 1 species